AUUCCAGCUCUAAUAGCGUAUAUUAAUGUUGUUGCAGUUAAAAAGCUCGUAGUUGGAUUUUGGUGUUUGACAAAUGGUCUGCCUUCGGGUUUGCACUGUUUGUUGGCACUUCUUUUCUGGGGAACUCACUGCUCUUAAUUGAGGGGUGCUGUAACGCAGAUCGUUUACUUUGAAAAAAUUAGAGUGUUCAAAGCAGGCCAACGCAUUGAAUACAUUAGCAUGGAAUAAUGGAAUAGGACUUUGGUCUUAUUUUGUUGGUUUUCGGAAAUCGACUUAAUGAUUAAUAGGGAUAGUCGGGGGCAUUCGUAUUCAAACGACAGAGGUGAAAUUCUUGGACCGUUUGAAGACGAACUAAGGCGAAAGCAUUUGCCAAGAAUGUUUUCAUUG
rnacentral:rRNA from 1 species